rnacentral:rRNA from 1 species
AGCGAACGCUGGCGGCAGGCUUAACACAUGCAAGUCGAGCGGGCGCAGCAAUGCGUCAGCGGCAGACGGGUGAGUAACGCGUGGGAACAUACCUUUUGGUUCGGAACAACACAGGGAAACUUGUGCUAAUACCGGAUAAGCCCUUACGGGGAAAGAUUUAUCGCCGAAAGAUUGGCCCGCGUCUGAUUAGCUAGUUGGUAGGGUAACGGCC